rnacentral:lncRNA from 1 species
UUUGCCGAAAUGCCCAACUCAAAAUUUUCAUGUGAAGGUUAAGUUUAUCAGCCACUUCUUCUGAAUUUCUUACUAUGAUUCUUUCAGUAUUAUGUGAAUCAAUUAGUUUGUUGUUAUGGGCAUGAAGUCAUUCAGUUGAUAUGUUGAGUAUUAAAGAGCUCAAAGUCAUCUUUCUUGUGAAUCUUUUCUGGAUUCUUCCAGUUGUUUGUGACAUUUGUGUCAAGAUUAGUGUUUGUGAUGGCCUCCAUUUGAUUUGCUAAGUGUUUCAUAAUCAUGUAUUGUGCAAUAUGUAUGAUGUCCAAUUUUUGUCUCUCUGCUUCACUGAUAUUCUGCAACUCUUGAUAUAUUUGGAGAAAUGAGUGUGAAUUCUUGCAUUCUGGCAUGUACAAGUUUAUGGUUGUUUAGAUUAUGGUUUAUGCCAAAAUGAGAAGUGUAAUGUCU